AUGGAAGUUUGGGCCCUCGAGGGAUUCGGUGUUGCUCAUAUUUUACAAGAGAUGCUUACUUAUAAAUCUGAUCAUAUUAAAGCUCGUCAAGAAGUACUUGGAACUACAAUUAGUGGAGGAACAAUACCGAAACCUGUGGAUGCUCCAGAAUCUUUUCGAUUGCUCGUUCGCGAACUACGAUCUUUGGCUCUGGAACUGAAUCAUUUCCUUGUCUCUGAGAAAGACUUUCAGAUUCAAAGGAAGGAAGUUUAA